AUACGUAGGGUGCAAGCGUUAAUCGGAAUUACUGGGCGUAAAGCGUGCGCAGGCGGUUUUGUAAGACAGUGGUGAAAUCCCCGGGCUCAACCUGGGAACUGCCAUUUUGACUGCAAGGCUGGAGUGCGGCAGAGGGGGAUGGAAUUCCGCGUGUAGCAGUGAAAUGCGUAGAUAUGCGGAGGAACACCGAUGGCGAAGGCAAUCCCCUGGGCCUGCACUGACGCUCAUGCACGAAAGCGUGGGGAGCAAACAGGAUUAGAUACCCUGGUAGUCCACGCCCUAAACGAUGUCAACUGGUUGUUGGGGAUUUAUUUUCUCAGUAACGAAGCUAACGCGUGUAGUUGACCGCCUGGGGAGUACGGCCGCAAGGUUAAAACUCAAAUGAAUUGACGGGG
rnacentral:rRNA from 1 species